UACGUAGGGUGCAAGCGUUGUCCGGAAUUAUUGGGCGUAAAGAGCUCGUAGGCGGUUUGUCGCGUCUGCUGUGAAAACUCGGGGCUUAACCCCGGGCCUGCAGUGGGUACGGGCAGACUAGAGUGCGGUAGGGGAGAUUGGAAUUCCUGGUGUAGCGGUGGAAUGCGCAGAUAUCAGGAGGAACACCAAUGGCGAAGGCAGAUCUCUGGGCCGUAACUGACGCUGAGGAGCGAAAGCAUGGGGGAGCGAACAGG
rnacentral:rRNA from 1 species